rnacentral:rRNA from 1 species
UACGAAGGGGGCUAGCGUUGCUCGGAAUCACUGGGCGUAAAGCGCACGUAGGCGGAUUGCUAAGUCAGGGGUGAAAUCCUGGAGCUCAACUCCAGAACUGCCUUUGAUACUGGUAAGCUCGAGUCCGGGAGAGGUGAGUGGAACUGCGAGUGUAGAGGUGAAAUUCGUAGAUAUUCGCAAGAACACCAGAGGCGAAGGCGGCCUACUGGGUCAGUACUGACGCUGAGCCGCGAAAGCCAGGGGAGCGAACGGG